rnacentral:rRNA from 1 species
GACGAACGCUGGCGGCGUGCUUAACACAUGCAAGUCGAACGAAGUGGCGAACGGGUGAGUAAUGCGUAAUCAACCUGCCCUUCAGAGGGGAACAACAGUCGGAAACGACUGCAAAUACCGCAUACUGAAGGAGGGGAUUGCGUCGGAUUAGCUAGUUGGGGGGGUAACGGCCCACCAAGGCGAUGAUCAGGAGCCGGUCUGGGAGGAUGAACGGCCACAAUGGGACUGAGACACGGGCCAGGCUCCUACGGGAGGCAGCAGUGGGGGAUCUUCCGCAAUGGACGAAAGGCUGACAGAGCAACGCCGCGUGAGUGAUGACGGCCUUCUGGUUGUAAAGCUCUGUUAAUCAGGACGCGGUACCGGAAUAGAAAGCCACGGCUAACUACGUGCCAGCAGCCGCGGUAAUAC